rnacentral:rRNA from 1 species
UGGGGAAUAUUGGGCAAUGGACGCAAGUCUGACCCAGCAACGCCGCGUGAAGGAAGAAGGCUUUCGGGUUGUAAACUUCUUUUGUCAGGGAACAGUAGAAGAGGGUACCUGACGAAUAAGCCACGGCUAACUACGUGCCAGCAGCCGCGGUAAUACGUAGGUGGCAAGCGUUGUCCGGAUUUACUGGGUGUAAAGGGCGUGUAGCCGGGUGUGUAAGUCAGAUGUGAAAUCCGCGGGCUCAACCCGCGAACUGCAUUUGAAACUGCGCAUCUUGAGUAUCGGAGAGGUAAUCGGAAUUCCUUGUGUAGCGGUGAAAUGCGUAGAUAUAAGGAAGAACACCAGUGGCGAAGGCGGAUUACUGGACGACAACUGACGGUGAGGCGCGAAAGCGUGGGGAGCAAACAGG